UAGAAUAACUUGUUGUUUUUCUAUAUUUUGUCCCUGGAUAACUUGUUUUUUCUAAAAUAACUUUAUGGUCUUUCCCCUAAGACAGCAUAUUUUUCAAGGAUAACUUAUUAUAUUUUCUAGGAUAAUUUAAGUUAUUUUCACGUUCUAUUGUUUUCUGUAUUUUCUUUUAUAAAGAAUGAUUUAUUUCUAAUAAUUCUUUUCUGUAUCUUCUAGGAUAUUUCAGUUUUUCUGUGAUAACUUUUCUAGAAUAAUUAUACCCCCGCACAACGAAGUUGUAAGGGGGGUAUACUGGAAUCAGCUUGUCCGUCCGGACGUCUCCCCGUCCGUCCGUCGGUUUUUCCUUGUCCGCCCAAUAACUUGAGAUUCCUUUGGCCCACAGUCUUCAUAUUUGGCAUGGAGGUUAGUCAUGAUUAGUAGAUGACCCCUAUUGAUUUUGAGGUCACUGGGUCAAGGUCACAUGGACCUUGACUUAAAAAACCUUGUCCGCCCAAUAACUUGAAAUUCCUUUGACCCACAGUUUUCAUAUUUGGCAUGGAGAUUAGUCAUGAUUAGUAGAUGACCCCUAUUGAUUUUGGGGUCACUGGGUUAAAGGUCAAGGUCAUAGGGGCCUUGACUUUAAAAAGCUUGUCAGCCCAAUAACUUGAGAUUGCUUUGGCCCACAGUCUUCAUAUUUGGCAUGGAGGUUAGUCAUGAUUAGUAAAUGAUCCCUAUUGAUUUUGAGGUCACUGGGUCAAAGGUCAAGGUCACAGGGGCCUUGACUAAAAAAAAGCUUGUCCGCCCAAUAACUUGAGAUUCCUUUGACCCACAGUCUUCAUAUUUGGCAUGGAGGUUAGUCAUGAUUAGUAGAUGACCCCUAUUGUUUUUGAGGUCACUGGGUCAAAGUUCAAGGUCACAGGGGCCUUGACUUAGAAAAAGCUUGUCUGCCCAAUAACUUGAGAUUCCUUUGCCCCACAGUCUUCAUAUUUGGCAUUGAGGUUAGUCAUGAGUAGUAAAUGAUCCCUAUUGAUUUUGAGGUCACUGGGUCAAAGGUCAAGGUCACAGGGGCCUUAAAUAAAAAAACUUGAUUUUAAAAUUUUCACAUUUGAAGCAUGGAGAAUGCAUAUCUUAGCAAUGCACUGGCUUAGUAACCUCAGAUUUGGCAGGGUGGUUGUCCUUGAGUUCUAAAUAGCCACUGUCUGACAAAGUGGUAUGCGGGGGUAUUCACGCCAUGAGAGUGGCAGUUCUAGUUUAUUUCUAAUCAUUCUUUUCUGUAUUUUCUAGGAUAUUUCACUUUUUCUGUGGUAACUUAUUUCUAGGAUAAUUUAUUUUGUAUCUUUGUUUUCUGUAUUUUCUAGGAUAACUAACUUUUUCAGUGAUAACUUUUUUCUAGAUUAUUUUAUUUUGCAUAAUUUUUAUGACAAUCCUAUUUACAAUCAAUGCUUGUUUCUAUAUGUGUCAAUGUUCUGUUAUAUUGUGGUUUAUUAUCAUAGAAUUUUAUACUUUUCUUAAGAUGUUAGUCUUUAUUUAUUAAAACAAAAUAUUUAUUGACAUAA